UACGUAGGGUGCAAGCGUUGUCCGGAAUUAUUGGGCGUAAAGAGCUCGUAGGCGGUCUGUCGCGUCUGCUGUGAAAACCCGAGGCUCAACCUCGGGCCUGCAGUGGGUACGGGCAAACUAGAGUGCGGUAGGGGAGAAUGGAAUUCCUGGUGUAGCGGUGGAAUGCGCAGAUAUCAGGAGGAACACCGAUGGCGAAGGCAGUUCUCUGGGCCGUAACUGACGCUGAGGAGCGAAAGCGUGGGGAGCGAACAGG
rnacentral:rRNA from 1 species